rnacentral:misc_RNA from 1 species
AACCUCAAUCCCCCAGGGUUCUGCUCUGUUGGGUGCAUUGGAUUUGGGCGUUGCCGGCCUGGCCGGCUCGCCUUAAAGGCGUUAGUGGGAUCAGCAGACCCGAUCGGCGUAAUAAGUUUCGCUGAGGAGGUUUGCGCGAGCCCGCUCACAACCCUCUCCUUUGGAGAACACUCUUUUG